UACAGAGGUCCCAAGCGUUGUUCGGAUUCACUGGACGUAAAGGGUGCGUAGGCGGUCGGGUAAGUCUGAUGUGAAAUCUCACAGCUUAACUGUGAAACUGCAUUGGAUACUAUCCGGCUCGAGGAAUGGAGGGGAGACUGGAAUACUUGGUGUAGCAGUGAAAUGCGUAGAUAUCAAGUGGAACACCAGUGGCGAAGGCGAGUCUCUGGACAUUUCCUGACGCUGGGCGACGAAAGCCAGGGGAGCAAACGGG
rnacentral:rRNA from 1 species